GCGGCAGACAGAAUCGAUUCCCCUUCAGCAAGCACCAUGAUGAAAAUAACGACGGUUGUCCUUGUGCUGAUAUCUCUGGCGGCUUUUAUGACUGAACAACAACUUCACGUAGAGGCAAUCAAUUGCCGAGGAUACUAUCAAGGAGAAUGCAAGCCACAGUGUAACGCUGGCGAAGAAGACUAUGGGCAACAGUCUUGCCAGGAGAGUUACCGGUGCUGUGUUCCUCCAAAAAUGAAGGUCCAUGCAUAAUGUCUGCUUCAGAUCCUUGUAGAGUUGGCUUACCUACGGUGACUGUCAUUAAUUCUUAAUUCUGUAAUACUUGCUAUAUGCAAUAUGUAAAGUUUAGAACAAAUAAAUACCC